rnacentral:rRNA from 1 species
AUGCAGGAUAAAAACAUGCCGCUCAACCUCGUACCUGCUGCUGGAAUGAAGUUCACCACGUACGAAAAGGCAUGGGACUUUUACAAUAAUUAUGCAAGAUGUGCAGGGUUUGGUAUACGCAAGAGGGCAAAACACAGGACAAAUGCCUACAUUGUCUGCUCAAGAGAAGGGGUCCACAAGCAGACUGUGUCAGAUUGUCACCGGGUAUGUCAGAAGACAUCAAAAAGGAUUGGCUGCAAUGCAAAGAUCAGAGUUAAAAGGAAGGAUGGCAAAUUUGUGAUAGAAAUGGUUCAACUCAACCACAAUCACAAGAUGCUGGAAAGCCCCGGGAUGCUUCUGCACAUGCGAUCGCACAAAAAAGACGAUCCUUUGAUAGACCAGUUAGUGAAAGACAUGUAACUGGACAACCACACACAUGCUCAGAUGAUGUCGACGCUGUCGCGUAUGUCCGGUGGUCUGCAGUACAUGGGACAUACUAGCCGCGACUGGGUAAACAGGAAACAGAAGUUUGCCAGAGAAGAGUCUGAAGAUGAUGUCAGGAAACUUCUGAAUUUCUUCGAGAAAAUGCAAAAGAUAAACCCAGAGUUCUUCUAUGAUUAUGACAUUGAUGCAGAUAACCGUGUAAGAAACAUCUUUUGAGCGAACGCAAGUUGCAGAGGAUCGUAUGAAGAUUUUGGAGACUGCGUUACAUUUGACACGACUUAUAAAACUAACAAAUUCCACAUGCCUCUGGGAGUGUUUGUGGGGGUGAACCAUCAUCUACAAAGCACCAUAUUUGCUGUUGCACUCGUGCGAGAUGAAACAAUACCAUCAUUUGAGUGGGUUUUCAAAACCUUUCUGAGCUGUAUGAACAACAAGCCGCCAAUCUGCAUGCUCACAGACCAGUGUUCUUCGAUGAAGGCAGCAUUAAAAACUAUCCUCCCACAAACUCUGCAUAAGCUGUGUCGGUGGCAUAUCAUGAAGAAGUACAAGGACCACCUCGCCUUGCUGUAUAAGGCGCACGAGAAGCUCAAGGACGAACUCAAUGCAGUGCUUAACCACCCACUAAUGCCGUCAGAAUUUGAACGAGCAUGGAAGAACCUCACUCAGAGGUACAACUUGCAAGAUGACGAAGUGAUGAAUUCACUGUGGGAUGACAGGCACGAGUGGAUCUCAGCUUAG